rnacentral:lncRNA from 1 species
CUCACAAUAUCUUUCUUAACAGAUUUGAUGCCAGGUGAAUCCAAGAGUCUAAAAAUCAACUGGACAAAAUGAAGAAGCUUGCUUCUUAUCAAAAUAAAGGCAUGUUGAUAGGCUGUGCUGAUCAACAUAUAUUCAUCAAGGAACGAGAAGGGAAGUGGGCGGGAAGGAGGCUGCAGAAGCUCACAUCUUGAGGAGCCAGAGCUCACUGCAGGGAGGAGACCCAGAAUCAGCAGUCUGUGACAUCUGUCACCUCGUCACCCUCGUUGCCCACAUCGAUAAC